UAGGUGAGACCUGAGGACUACAAGAAACUCUAAGAAGCUCCAUAUUCAGUACAUCGUUUCUUUUGAGAAUCUGGACAAGCUCCAACUAAUUGAAGGAUGACUUGCAGACCACCUGAAGAAAAAGACCUUCCUUAGAAGAAUAGGCUUGUUGCUUUGCAGUGUUAGUGACCUAUUCCCUUUGACGAUCCCUAGGUGGAGAUGGGGCAUGAGGAUCCUCCAGGGGAAUAGCUCACUACCACUGGGCAACAACCCUAGGCCAGGAGGUUCUACCAAGAUUUUUUCCUGUGCCCAGAUAGGAAGGUGAAGUCUCAAGACAUCCUCCACACAUCAAAGCUCCUGAUGGUUCCCUUUAUAUCUACCAAAUCGUUCAUCCUUCUGAAAAGCAAUCCAGAGAGCAAGAAAUUUGAACACAACAAAGGAAGAUCAACAUGCCUGGCACUCUAGCAUUUUAGAAUAGCAGAAUAAACUGUUGUGCCCCUCACUAUAUCUUAUGUCUGCCUGCCUUAUCUCUUUCACUCAUAAGUGUGUAUUUCUUUGCUUAUCUAUUUUUUCCUUGAAUGUCUUUGGUCUUUGUUCUCUCAAGUUUCUUACCCAAUUCCAUGAUCCUCUUGCUUGUUUCUUCUCUGUGUAUCUUUGUCUCAUUUUCUUUCUUGUUCAUAAGAGUUAUUUGUGCCUUCUCUUAGAUGGCUCUCAUUUUUUUCAUUUUGUUACUAAUUGUCUUUGUUUUCCUAGCUCUUGCUCUUCUUUCACUGUUCUUCCCAUUGUGUCUCUGAGUCUCAUGCUGUAUGCUUUUUGCUCAUUCCUUGUCUUGUCCACAUCUUUUUUUCCCUCUUUGUGAACUCUUGGUUGUUCAUCAUUCUCUCCCAUUUUGUUAGACAUUUUACCUUUUUCUGAUUCUGGCCUCCUUUCUGCUGUUUCUACUCUUCAUCUUGGAUUUCUCUCUUCUACAUGUCCUUUCUGCCUCUCUUGGGCCAUUUUCUUUCCUUUUUCCUGCUCUAUGUGCCUCAGUGUCUCUUUGUUCUUUGUGUCUUUCUAUUUCACCUUUCUUCUCUCUGUUCUCUUGUUCUUUUGCUUUUUCCCUCCACCCACCUUUGGGUACUUCAGCCUCUUCAUGAGUCUGUGUCUUCCCCUUUGAUUUCUUGCAAUCCUCUCUCCAUGCAUAUUUUUUUGUAUAUGUGUAUGUGUACAUCCAUGUGCGCAUGUUUGUGACAAAGGGGUUUCCUAACCCCUUCCCAAUAGGUGCAGAGUAUCUACUAUCAAAAUAAGCAUUGCAGAGCUGUUCCUUAUGCCAGGCCGUCCUGUGAGAUAAAUCCAAAACUAGUAGAAGGCCGAAGGAUCCAAAGACCUAAGAUGUACAGAAGGUGGAAGGCCCAUAAUGGAUAUAAUUCCCAACACAGAAGACAGAAUUGAGACCUGUGGACUAAAGUAUAAAACCUGUGUCCCAAGAUAGAUGGAAACCUCAGCCUUGAGACCAUCAGAAGCCCUAGAGCCAUUAUGUACAUAAAGAAGAUGGCCCUUGUCAGAUAACUGAGUUGGAUGCAAGUCUUGUGUCUUGAGUUAGACAAAAGGCUGAAGACCCAGGAUGAAAGAACCAAGCCUAUGAGUGGGGAUACAUGGAAAGCCUGAGACCUGAGUCACAAGACCUGAGAUUUAAAAAACUUAGCUUGAAGACUUAAGACCCAAGGAUAUGAGGUGUCACACACACAUAAAGACCCAGGAGUCAAGCAUCUCUAUGUGGACUUGAAAGCCCAAGAGAGACCAAUAUCUUAAGACUAAAUUAAGCUGGAGUUCCAUGACCC